rnacentral:rRNA from 1 species
AUACGGAGGAUCCGAGCGUUAUCCGGAUUUAUUGGGUUUAAAGGGUGCGCAGGCGGCCAUUUAAGUCAGCGGUUAAAUCGUGGGGCUCAACCCCAUUCUGCCGUUGAUACUGGUUUCCUUGAGUACGGUACAGGUGGGCGGAAUUCGUGGUGUAGCGGUGAAAUGCUUAGAUAUCACGAAGAAACACGAUCGCGAAGGCAGCUCACCGGGCCGGAACUGACACUGAUGCUCGAAAGUGCGGGUAUCAAACAGGAUUAGAUACCCUGGUAGUCCGCACAGUAAACGAUGAAUACUCGCUGUUUGCGAUACACUGUAAGCGGCCAAGCGAAAGCGGUAAGUAUUCAACCUGGGGAGUACGACGGCAACGGUGAA